rnacentral:rRNA from 1 species
AUAGUAGUGUCAGAGUUUGAUCCUGGCUCAGGACGAACGCUGGCGGCGUGCAUAACACAUGCAAGUCGAACGAUGAAGAAGAGAAUGGAGACUUCGGUCAAAGUUCGCUUCGGAUUAGUGGCAGACGGGUGAGUAACGCGUGAGCAACCUACCUCUUACAAAGGGAUAGCCAUGGGAAACCGUGAUUAAUACCAUAUGAUACAAUAACAAGGCAUCUUGAGAUUGUUAAAGCUCCGGCGGUAAGAGAUGGGCUCGCGUCCCAUUAGCUAGUUGGUGAGGGUAACGGCCCACCAAGGCGACGAUGGGUAACCGGCCUGAGAGGGUGAACGGUCACAUUGGAACUGAGACACGGUCCAA